AACGAACGCUGGCGGCAGGCCUAACACAUGCAAGUCGAACGAAGUCUUCGGACUCAGUGGCGCACGGGUGAGUAACACGUGGGAAUAUACCUUACGCUGGGGGAUAACAUCGGGAAACUGAUGCUAAUACCGCAUACGCCCUUCGGGGGAAAGAUUUAUCGGCGAAAGAUUAGCCCGCGUCCGAUUAGCUAGUUGGUGAGGUAAUGGCUCACCAAGGCUCCGAUCGGUAGCUGGUCUGAGAGGAUGACCAGCCACACUGGGACUGAGACACGGCCCAGACUCCUACGGGAGGCAGCAGUGGGGAAUAUUGGACAAUGGGCGCAAGCCUGAUCCAGCCAUGCCGCGUGAGUGAUGAAGGCCUUAGGGUUGUAAAGCUCUUUCACCCACGACGAUGAUGACGGUAGUGGGAGAAGAAGCCCCGGCUAACUUCGUG
rnacentral:rRNA from 1 species